rnacentral:rRNA from 1 species
UACGGAGGAUUCAAGCGUUAUCCGGAUUUAUUGGGUUUAAAGGGUGCGCAGGCGGCGAGUUAAGUCAGCGGUAAAAUUUCGGGGCUCAACCCCGACAAGCCGUUGAAACUGGCUUGCUAGAGUGGGCGAGAAGUAUGCGGAAUGCGUGGUGUAGCGGUGAAAUGCAUAGAUAUCACGCAGAACUCCGAUUGCGAAGGCAGCUUGCUAGGCCGGAUCUGACACUGAUGCACGAAAGCGUGGGGAUCGAACAGG